rnacentral:rRNA from 1 species
CCUAGGUAUUUAUUCAAAUUUGAAAUUCAAAUUCAUAAAAAAUAAUUAAUUAAAUUAAAAUAAAAUCUUGCCCCAAGCAAAAUGAAAAAUCAAAAAGACGUAAAAAACACCUAUAACAUUUAAAAGAUCAGUAAAAAUCUAUGGGUCUUUUAGUCUUAUUUAAAUCUCUUAAAAUUUCUCAAAAAGAAAAUAAAUUCAAAGAAUAACUUAAUGAAAAAGAUCCUUCAUUCCUCCAUUCAUACUCGAUCCCAAUUAAGAAUCUAAUGAUUUCGCUACCUU